UUUCAAUUUUAGUGUAAAUUACGUGCUAUUUCGGAGAUACAUAUCUAUAUUACGUACGUACACCCGUAUGUAUAUCGCGUAUGAAGCUUUACAGAAGAUUAAACGAACAAUGAGAUGAGUCGACGGCUUCCGAGAACGAACUAUUUACACCGAAACAUUAUGAAAAUAUCCGAGUGUUUCGGAAGGUCGACAAUUAUACAAAGAUCGUGAGAUCGAUACAUAUUAUUUUGUUUCUAUUUCUUCUUAUGUUUUCGUAAUAAUGUUUUAUUUCUAUAGUAUAAAGUAAGGAGAAUCGUUCAACGCCAGUAAAAGGAAUAAUAAAUCAUUGAAAUGAUCCCAUUGGAUCAUGGAGCCCAUCGGUAGAAGGACGCUCGUGAUCUUCAGUCUCUUUUGUAACAUCGUCGAGGAAGGACGUACUUAUACGCAAUAAAUUCGAUUACAAAUCUCUCACGAUCAAUACGAAUUAUUUGAUAACGAAAUACGCUGAUAAUUGCUUUCGUGAACGCAGAAUCGAAGAACGUUCUAUAGACACGUAUUUACAUAUAUGUAUAUAUAGGUAUAUAUAGAUAUAUUCUCUCACUCUUCCGAUACAACAUGGAGUCGAGUUGUUAUGGACACCAUGCAUGCACUCGUCCUGUCGUCCUUCGAUUUCUGUUUAUGACAAGGUUCUCACGCUUCGUCGUAUCGCGAUAACAAUGGUAUGACCUUCGACGUUGAGAUUUCACAAAUGGAAAAAUAGAUCGUGAAUAAUAGAAAUAAUAUCGUUUAAUAGAAAUAUUUGUAUUACGUA